UACGUAGGGUCCGAGCGUUAUCCGGAAUCAUUGGGCGUAAAGAGCUCGUAGGCGGUUCAGCAAGUCGGCUGUGAAAGUUCGAGGCUCAACCUCGAAAUUGCAGUCGAUACUGCUGUGACUUGAAUUCGGUAGAGGAGAAUGGAAUUCCCGGUGUAGCGGUGAAAUGCGCAGAUAUCGGGAGGAACACCAGUAGCGAAGGCGGUUCUCUGGGCUGAUAUUGACGCUGAGGCGCGAAAGCGUGGGGAGCAAACAGG
rnacentral:rRNA from 1 species